rnacentral:ncRNA from 1 species
CUAAACACUAUAAAAAGGAAAGUAAAAUGUCCCCUACAUUUACAGAGAGCCUUCGUUCGCUGAGAGAAGGUAUUGAAAGCACGUUUGAAAAUGGCCUUGGAGUGUUGGUACCGAUAUGAGGUAUCACCGGGUUCGCCCGUUAUAGCGACUCAGUAUUCACAUUUUGUGGCACGGUAAAGUAUUCCAAAGAUAUCCCUCACAUUCCGUAUCUAUCAUACUCUUUACUGUGCACACAAUUUCGCGUACUGGAAGAGGUGAUUUGAGCAAUCAUGUCACGAACAAAGGUGGUACCACGAACAAGCUUUCGUCCUUUAU